AUUGAACGCUGGCGGCAUGCCUUACACAUGCAAGUCGAACGGCAGCACGGGUGCUUGCACCUGGUGGCGAGUGGCGAACGGGUGAGUAAUACAUCGGAACAUGUCCUGUAGUGGGGGAUAGCCCGGCGAAAGCCGGAUUAAUACCGCAUACGAUCUACGGAUGAAAGCGGGGGACCUUCGGGCCUCGCGCUAUAGGGUUGGCCGAUGGCUGAUUAGCUAGUUGGUGGGGUAAAGGCCUACCAAGGCGACGAUCAGUAGAGGGUCUGAGAGGACGACCAGCCACACUGGGACUGAGACACGGCCAAGACUCCUACGGGAGGCAGCAGUGGGGAAUUUUGGACAAUGGGCGAAAGCCUGAUCCAGCAAUGCCGCGUGUGUGAAGAAGGCCUUCGGGUCGUAAAGCACUUUUGUCCGGAAAGAAAUCCUUGGCUCUAAUACAGUCGGGGGAUGACGGUACCGGAAGAAUAAGCACCGGCUAACUACGUG
rnacentral:rRNA from 1 species